rnacentral:rRNA from 1 species
UUGCCAGACUCCUACGGGAGGCAGCAGUGGGGAAUAUUGCACAAUGGGGGAAACCCUGAUGCAGCGACGCCGCGUGAGUGAAGAAGUAUUUCGGUCUGUAAAGCUCUAUCAGCAGGGAAGAGAAUGACGGUACCUGACUAAGAAGCCCCGGCUAACUACGUGCCAGCAGCCGCGGUAAUACGUAGGGGGCAAGCGUUAUCCGGAUUUACUGGGUGUAAAGGGGGCGCAGACGGCGAUGCAAGCCAGGAGUGAAAGCCCGGGGCCCAACCCCGGGACUGCUCUUGGAACUGCGUGGCUAGAGUGCAGGAGGGGCAGGCGGAAUUCCUGGUGUAGCGGUGAAAUGCGUAGAUAUCAGGAGGAACACCGGUGGCGAAGGCGGCCUGCUGGACUGCGACUGACGUUGAGGCCCGAAAGCGUGGGGAGCAAACAGGAUUAGAUACCCGUGUA